CCUUUCGUAGCUCAAUGGAUAGAGCAAUCCCGUCCUAAGGGAGAGAUGGGGGUUCGACUCCCUCCGAGAGGA
rnacentral:tRNA from 1 species